AGAGCGAACGCUGGCGGCAGGCCUAACACAUGCAAGUCGAGCGCGUGUAGCAAUACACGAGCGGCAGACGGGAGAGUAACACGUGGGAACGCGCCCUUCGGUUCGGAAUAACUCAGGGAAACUUGAGCUAAUACCGGAUACGCCCUUACGGGGAAAGAUUUAUUGCCGAAGGAACGGCCCGCGUCCGAUUAGCUAGUUGGUGAGGUAACGGCUCACCAAGGCGACGAUCGGUAGCUGGUCUGAGAGGAUGACCAGCCUCACUGGGACUGAGACACGGCCCAGACUCCUACGGGAGGCAGCAGUGGGGAAUAUUGGACAAUGGGCGCAAGCCUGAUCCAGCCAUGCCGCGUGGAUGAUGAAGGCCUUAGGGUUGUAAAGUCCUUUUAACGGGGAAGAUAAUGACGGUACCCGUAGAAUAAGCCCGGCUAACUUCGUACCAGCAGCCGC
rnacentral:rRNA from 1 species